GUCACAGACUAACCCAUUCUUCCACUCUUAGGUAAAUUCUUAAAUCCCAACCUUCCACCGAAGUAUACAAUAUAUCAAUUAGAAUAAAUAAAUACAUAAAUACAUUUCACAUUUUCAUAUUAAUAAAUAGUUCACACUUUAAUGUUACACCAAACCCAAUAUUAUAAAAACCCAGAAACCCCAAGCACAAAAAGAUUGACCACACUGUCUUUACCAAUGGUCUCUCCCGGAACCUUUACAUGGUGUCUAGACCCCCGGGGAAACAUUUGCCCAAACACCUUGAAGAGGACACAGGCAAGAAAGUCUUCUCCAGAUGAGCCCUCUGGUUGUUGGCAUGACCUGAGUGGGGGAAAAAGCGUUGUCCUGACACCGAUCAAGUGGAGCUGGAGAACUUGUUUUACCAGUGCCUGACUCGACAGCGCCGCCUCAUGGAAAUUAACAUAAACAUCGACCUACCAGCCAGGCGACGAUGAACCAGAACCUGAGAAUUCAGGACACCAGGAGAGAUGAGUCCUCCAUCACAGAUGGUGUGGUCAGUGAGGAUGGUCACCUGCGGGUUCAAGGUCAUUGCAUUUCCAACCCACAUCCACUUCCACUGUACUUAAGGGAAGUUGGGACAAUGUUAAAGACUUUCUUCUGCACUUACAUUAGGAUCACCUAAAUCCAUGACGGUCAUUCAGGCAGUAAUACCAGGACCACAAGCCAUCAUUAAAAUAUUACAACAUACAACCUUCUGUGUUUGAAUGCAAAACAAAUAUGUUGUUUGAUCUAGAGACUGCACUUGUGGCUGAACAAUAAAUACAUUUUAUUUUGAUUAUAUAAGAAAUGUAACUUGCAAUACAAAGUAAUCGGGAGUAUAAACAUAGUUUCACAAUAAUUAAAUCUGAGACUUUGUUAAUAACCUUAUACUGAAACAAUGAUGGCAAUGUAAUUGUUUGUUGUUCAGUAGAACAGUGUCCAGUAUGUUGGCUGAUAUGCGUUUUUGCAUUUGAAAAUAAAAGUUGGGCUGAUUUUAACACCACAAGAAGUGUUAAUUAGUCUUUUUGAAUCAUACUUACAUUUAUAUAACAAUGAAUAUAAGUGUUGUACUAGAAAUUUCAAGGAUGAUAAAACA